UACGUAGGGGGCAAGCGUUGUCCGGAUUUAUUGGGCGUAAAGAGCUCGUAGGCGGUUUGGUAAGUCGGAUGUGAAAUCUCCAGGCUCAACUUGGAGGGGUCAUUCGGUACUGCCAUGACUAGAGUUCGGUAGGGGAGUGUGGAAUUCCUGGUGGAGCGGUGAAAUGCGCAGAUAUCAGGAGGAACACCGGUGGCGAAAGGC
rnacentral:rRNA from 1 species